rnacentral:rRNA from 1 species
AACGAACGCUGGCGGCAUGCCUAACACAUGCAAGUCGAACGAGACCUUCGGGUCUAGUGGCGCACGGGUGCGUAACGCGUGGGAACCUGCCCUUAGGUUCGGAAUAACUCCCCGACAGGGGUGCUAAUACCGGAUAAUGUCUUCGGACCAAAGAUUUAUCGCCUUUGGAUGGGCCCGCGUUGGAUUAGCUAGUUGGUAGGGUAAAAGCCUACCAAGGCGACGAUCCAUAGCUGGUCUGAGAGGAUGAUCAGCCACACUGGGACUGAGACACGGCCCAGAAUCCUACGGGAGGCAGCAGUGGGGAAUAUUGGACAAUGGGCGAAAGCCUGAUCCAGCAAUGCCGCGUGAGUGAUGAAGGCCUUAGGGUUGUAAAGCUCUUUUACCCGGGAUGAUAAUGACAGUACCGGGAGAAUAAGCUCCGGCUAACUCCGUG